UCGCGUUAGCUUCGCUACUCACGGAUUAAAUCCACAAACAGCUAGUAGACAGCGUUUACGGUGUGGACUACCAGGGUAUCUAAUCCUGUUCGCUACCCACACUUUCGCACAUGAGCGUCAGUCUUUGGCCAGGGAGUUGCCUUCGCCAUUGAUGUUCCUCCAGAUCUCUACGCAUUUCACCGCUACACCUGGAAUUCCACUCCCCUCUCCAAGACUCUAGUCUGCCAGUUCUAAAUGACCCUCCCACGUUGAGCGCGGGGCUUUCACAUCUAGCUUAACAGACCGCCUGCGCGCGCUUUACGCCCAGUAAUUCCGAUUAACGCUCGCACCCUCCGUAUUACCGCGGCUGCUGGCACGGAGUUAGCCGGUGCUUCUUCUGUUGUUAACGUCACAGCUAGCAGGUAUUAACUACUAACCUUUCCUCACAACUGAAAGUGCUUUACAACCCGAAGGCCUUC
rnacentral:rRNA from 1 species